rnacentral:rRNA from 1 species
CCUACGGGAGGCAGCAGUGAGGAAUAUUGGUCAAUGGCCGGAAGGCUGAACCAGCCAAGCCGCGUGAAGGACGAAGGUGCAAAGCAUUGUAAACUUCUUUUGUCAAGGGACAAAAUCAGGCGCGAGAGCCUGACCGAGGGUACUUGAAGAAAAAGCAUCGGCUCACCCCGUGCCAGCAGCCGCGGUAAUACGGAGGAGGCGAGCGUUAUCCGGAUGUAUUGGGUUGAAAGGGUGCGGAGGCGGACUGUUAAGUCUGCGGUAAAAGCCCGUGGCUCACCCCCGGCGUGCCGUUGAAACUGGCUGUCUUGAGGUGUCGCGUGGUAUGCGGAAUGCGCCGUGUAGCUGU